rnacentral:rRNA from 1 species
UGCCAGACUCCUACGGGAGGCAGCAGUGGGGAAUAUUGCACAAUGGGGGAAACCCUGAUGCAGCGACGCCGCGUGAGCGAUGAAGUAUUUCGGUAUGUAAAGCUCUAUCAGCAGGGAAGAAAAUGACGGUACCUGACUAAGAAGCCCCGGCUAACUACGUGCCAGCAGCCGCGGUAAUACGUAGGGGGCAAGCGUUAUCCGGAUUUACUGGGUGUAAAGGGAGCGUAGACGGCUGUGCAAGCCAGAUGUGAAAGCCCGGGGCUCAACCCUGGGACUGCAUUUGGAACUGUGUGGCUGGAGUGUCGGAGAGGCAGGCGGAAUUCCUAGUGUAGCGGUGAAAUGCGUAGAUAUUAGGAGGAACACCAGUGGCGAAGGCGGCCUGCUGGACGAUGACUGACGUUGAGGCUCGAAAGCGUGGGGAGCAAACAGGAUUAGAUACCCCGGUAG